UUCUGUGGUGUAGUUGGCAGUGCUUUGAAUUAGUAAUUAUAAGUCCUAGGUUCGAGUCCCGGCAGGGAAA